ACCCCUUUCUACACAGGUUGGGAUCGGUUGCAAUGCUGUGUUAAAUCAGUGGUAUUGCACUUGUCCCGGCCUGUUGAGGUUGGUGGGG
ensembl:miRNA microRNA 92a-1